rnacentral:tRNA from 5 species
CGGAAUGUGGCGCAGCCCGGUAGCGCACUUGCAUGGGGUGCAAGGGGUCGGAGGUUCGAAUCCUCUCAUUCCGACCA